CAGACGGGUGAGUAAUGCGUAGGAAUCUACCUAGUAGUAUGGAAUAGCCAUUAGAAAUGAUGGGUAAUACUGUAUAAUCCCUGCGGGGGAAAGAUUUAUCGCUAUUAGAUGAGCCUACGUUAGAUUAGCUAGUUGGUAAGGUAAUGCCUUACCAAGGCUAUGAUCUAUAGCUGGUCUGAGAGGACGAUCAGCCACACUGGAACUGAGAUACGGUCCAGACUCCUACGGGAGGCAGCAGUGGGGAAUAUUGGACAAUGGGCGAAAGCCUGAUCCAGCUAUGCCGCGUGAGUGAAGAAGGCCUUCGGGUUGUAAAACUCUUUCAAUAGGGAAGAUAAUGACGGUACCAA
rnacentral:rRNA from 1 species